GACGGAGGAGGCAAGCGUUAUCCGGAAUUAUUGGGCGUAAAGCGUCCGCAGGUGGCUAUUCAAGUCUGCUGUCAAAGGUCGGUGCUUAACCCCGGGAAGGCAGUGGAAACUGAAUAGCUAGAGUGCGGUAGGGGCAGAGGGAAUUCCCGGUGUAGCGGUGAAAUGCGUAGAGAUCGGGAAGAACACCAGUGGCGAAAGCGCUCUGCUGGGCCUGCACUGACACUGAGGGACGAAAGAUAGGGGAGUGAAAGGG
rnacentral:rRNA from 1 species